CCCGACGCGAAUGCCCCCGCCAGUGACGCGAGACGGGGCAAAAGGACCAAUGAUGAAGGAGAUGGAGACCCAAAAGAGGAGAGAUUUGAAGGGUUCAGUUUGGAUAUAAAGAACAGAAAGAAGCAAUAGAAGGGAAGAGAAGGAAACUGUAAUGAAGAUAAGGGGUUUGUUAAUGGGGUUUUGUUGGGUUUCCUGAUCGGUGAGUGAAGAAGGAAUUGGGCGAGACUGGAAGAAGAAUCUGGGUCUUGCGUCCUCAUCCAGGAACUCCAUGGUUGGUUGCUCACAGUGGGAGAGGAUAUAGAGACCCCGAAAGGAAAGUGACUAAAAUUUUGUUAUUUUCCUUUUAAAGGUACAUGCUUUGACUCUUACGCGGCCCUCGACAAAAUUUUACUUC
rnacentral:misc_RNA from 1 species